GCCCAGAUGGCGGAAUUGGUAGACGCGUCGGUCUCAAAAACCGAUGAUCGUGAGGUCGUGCCGGUUCGAUCCCGGCUCCGGGUA
rnacentral:tRNA from 1 species